AGUGAACGCUGGCGGUAGGCCUAACACAUGCCAGUCGAACGGCAGCACAGUAAGAGCUUGCUCUUACGGGUGGCGAGUGGCGUACGGGUGAGGAAUACAUCGGAAUCUACUUUUUCGUGGGGGAUCACGUAGGGAAACUUACGCUAAUACCGCAUACGCCCUACGGGUGAAAGCAGGGGAUCUUCGCACCUUGCGCGAUUGAAUGAGCCGAUGUCGGAUUAGCUAGUUGGCGGGGUAAAGGCCCACCAAGGCGACGAUCCGUAGCCGGUCUGAGAGGAUGAUCAGCCACACUGGAACUGAGACACGGUCCAGACUCCUACGGGAGGCAGCAGUGGGGAAUAUUGGACAAUGGGCGCAAGCCUGAUCCAGCCAUACCGCGUGGGUGAAGAAGGCCUUCGGGUUGGAAAGCCCUUUUGUUGGGAAAGAAAAGCAGCAGGUUAAUACCCCGCUGUUCUGACGGUACCCAAAGAAUAAGCACCGGCUAACUUCGUG
rnacentral:rRNA from 1 species